AGAGUUUGAUCCUGGCUCAGGACGAACGCUGGCGGCGUGCCUAAUACAUGCAAGUAGAACGCUGAAAUCUGGUGCUUGCACCGGAUGGAUGAGUUGCGAACGGGUGAGUAACGCGUAGGUAACCUACCUCAUAGCGGGGGAUAACUAUUGGAAACGAUAGCUAAUACCGCAUAACAGUCUUUAACUCAUGUUAGAGUCUUGAAAGGGGCAAUUGCUUCACUAUGAGAUGGACCUGCGUUGUAUUAGCUAGUUGGUGAGGUAACGGCUCACCAAGGCGACGAUACAUAGCCGACCUGAGAGGGUGAUCGGCCACACUGGGACUGAGACACGGCCCAGACUCCUACGGGAGGCAGCAGUAGGGAAUCUUCGGCAAUGGGGGCAACCCUGACCGAGCAACGCCGCGUGAGUGAAGAAGGUUUUCGGAUCGUAAAGCUCUGUUGUAAGAGAAGAACGUGUGUGAGAGUGGAAAGUUCACACAGUGACGGUAUCUUACCAGAAAGGGACGGCUAACUACGUGCCAGCAGCCGCGGUAAUACGUAGGUCCCGAGCGUUGUCCGGAUUUAUUGGGCGUAAAGCGAGCGCAGGCGGUUUGAUAAGUCUGAAGUUAAAGGCUGUGGCUCAACCAUAGUACGCUUUGGAAACUGUCAAACUUGAGUGCAGAAGGGGAGAGUGGAAUUCCAUGUGUAGCGGUGAAAUGCGUAGAUAUAUGGAGGAACACCGGUGGCGAAAGCGGCUCUCUGGUCUGUAACUGACGCUGAGGCUCGAAAGCGUGGGUAGCGAACAGGAUUAGAUACCCUGGUAGUCCACGCCGUAAACGAUGAGUGCUAGGUGUUAGGCCCUUUCCGGGGCUUAGUGCCGCAGCU
rnacentral:rRNA from 1 species